UACGUAGGUGGCGAGCGUUGUCCGGAUUUACUGGGCGUAAAGGAUGCGUAGGUGGAAACUUAAGUGGGAUGUGAAAUCCCCGGGCUCAACCAGGGAACUGCAUUCCAAACUGGGUUACUUGAGUGCAGGAGAGGAAAGCGGAAUUCCUAGUGUAGCGGUGAAAUGCGUAGAUAUUAGGAAGAACACCAGUGGCGAAGGCGGCUUUCUGGACUGUAACUGACACUGAGGCAUGAAAGCGUGGGGAGCAAACAGGAUAGAUACCCUGGUAGUCCCU
rnacentral:rRNA from 1 species